rnacentral:rRNA from 1 species
ACACGACUACAUUAGAUACCCGUGUAGUCCCAGCCCUAAACGAUGCGCGUUAGGUGUAUCGGUGACCACGAGUCACCGAGGUGCCGAAGGGAAACCGUGAAACGUGCCGCCUGGGAAGUACGGUCGCAAGGCUGAAACUUAAAGGAAGUUGGCGGGGAGCACCACAACGGGUGGAGCCUGCGGUUUAAUUGGACUCAACGCCGGGAAGCUCACCGGAUAAGACAGCGGAAUGAUUGCCGGGCUGAAGACCCUGCAUGACCAGCUG